AGGGAGGUGGGGGUUAUGACAAUCGCGGCCUGGCUGUGUGCUGGCGAAAGCUGACCUCGCAAGGAGAUGACACAGCUGGGGACUGAGAUCCGAUUCACACUCACGCAUUCAAUGACCGCAACCCCAGUUAGUUUUUUAGCACAUCUUUUUCCCCUUCGUCGAAUGUACGCAGCGAUAAAAACAAACCCUGUUGUUUCGCAAAUUUGGAAAAUUAGGGGGAAAGGGGCUGGGGU
rnacentral:lncRNA from 1 species